rnacentral:lncRNA from 1 species
UGACAUUCAGGGUUGUUCAAUUUUUUAUUUCCAUGUUUUUCAACAAUGCACAAGGGCUAGGGGUGUAUAUCAACAGUAGAGCACUUGCCGAGCAUCCCCAAGGUCCUGGGUUCAAGCCCCAGCACCAUAAGAAACCAAUGAGAAAAACGUAUUCAUUGGUUACAGUGCUAGGGACGAGCCCAGGCCUCGCUCAUGCCAGGCAAUGCUCCAGCCCUGAGCCACAUCCCAGCCUCGCAAACAUUUCAGAAGCAGAAGGUAUGCGUGGGAAAGAGAAGACAUCAGGGGAGAGUUGCUGGUGGGCCCUGAAGGGCCAAGGGCACUGGCCAGGGGCUUUGCCCCUUCCCCAGGAGGUCUCACUCCCAGAGCCUGCUGUCACACCAGUCCAUCUCCUGACUACCUCAGCCACCUCAGCCUGAAGGGGCUCCUAUUCAGAGGCAAGCCAGAUGCCCUGGCUACCAUGCAGUGUCCCUUCUUGGGGAGAGGAGAGGUGGCAGCCCAUACAAGGGCUCAUGGCUGACACCUCAGAGGGCAAGGAAGUGUUCCCAGUAGGCUGCACCCUGGCUGAGCCACUGAAUCUCAGGGCCUCAGUGCAUCCCGCUCUUGUUUUGGGUCUUGUUUUCCCUGUUUGCACAACGAAGUCACAGGACUGACCGUCCAGGAUUCCCCAUGCUGCAAUCCAGGUGGCCUGGGGGCAGGUCUUAGGAGGUGGAGUGGCAGCACUGGGGUGGCUGUCUCUGCAGGUUGCAGCUGAGUUAUAGGAGGUUUUGCUCAGACCCUUUUGCUUCUGAGUGCAGUGCUUGGUUGAGGUUGAGAGGGAUGAGGGUCCUCUGGCACUGGGGAUCCCAGUUUCCUGAGCUUAAGACCUACCUGACCACACAGUGGGCAACAGUGACCACCCAGUUCUCGCUGAUGAGGGAACCCUGCAGAAGUGGAAGCCAGUGCUGUCCUGGGGAAGAAGAAGGUAAAGGUCACUACUCCCACCUGGGCUGCACCCCUAGCGUGGCCAGCACCCCAGAAUGACCCCCACACACCCAGAAUGCCCUCUC